rnacentral:misc_RNA from 1 species
GGGAUUCAGUAAGCUGCUGCCUUCACUGUUUCCGGUUACCUCACCAGUGCGGCAGUGCCGUUUCUCCACCUCUUCAGCUACAAAUUGCAGUCACGACAUUCAACGAUCAAGAUGGCUUUAUCAACUAUUCGGACGGUUAAUCAUCUUCUUAAGCCUUUCACCGCCGCCAUCUCAGCCACCCGUCGCCUAUCGUCGGACUCCAACGCCACCAUCAGUGUGGAAAUCAGCAAACCGUACACCGCUCACAACAUUGAUCCUCCCUCAUCAAUCGUCGAAACCACACCUAAUGAACUCAUGACUUUCUUCGCAGACAUGGUGGAGAUGCGGCGUAUGGAGAUCGCUGCAGAUUCGCUCUACAAAGCCAAACUAAUCCGCGGAUUCUGUCAUCUCUAUGACGGACAAGAAGCGGUUGCUAUAGGCAUGGAAGCUGCUAUUACAAAAAAGGAUUGUAUCAUUACGGCUUAUAGAGAUCACUGUAUAUUCCUUGCACGUGGUGGAGGAUUAGUUGAGUCGUUUGCCGAGCUAAUGGGGAGGAAAGAUGGUUGUUCCAAAGGGAAAGGAGGCUCGAUGCAUUUCUACAAGAAGGAUAGUGGAUUUUAUGGAGGUCAUGGAAUCGUAGGUGCUCAAGUUCCUCUAGGAAUUGGAAUUUCUUUUGCGCAGAAAUAUAACAAAGAAGACCAUGUUACUUUUGCUAUGUAUGGUGAUGGUGCUGCUAAUCAAGGACAGUUGUUUGAGGCUUUGAAUAUGGCU